CCUGCCCCUGCCCCACAUCGGGCUCGGCCGGGGACUCCGGCCCUGCCCCAGCCGGGCUCGGCCCCCGAGAGCCCCGCAGGAGCUCGCUCAGGCCGUGGAGCAGGAUGGACAGAGCCCUCAGAACCCAAAAGAGCAGGGGAAGCACAGCCUGUUCUCCCCACUGUACAUCGCAGGCACUUUGCAGAGAUGCAGAGUUCAGUGGAGAUGCCAGUGAUGCAAUUAGUUUCAUUUAAAGGAAAGAAAGAAGUGGAAGAAAUGAAAAGGGAAAAAAGCACUGUGUUUGAUAAUUUCUCCAUUUAAAUCUUGAAGAGGCUUUGACAUCAGCUACAGAAUGGAGGGGUGGUUAGAACCCCUUCCCAGGACUACUGCUUGCUGGAAUCAAUUUUCUGGAAGACUGAUUUCAUACUGCCACACCACAUCAGAUUACAUUCUGAUUAUUAUAUCUUUUUGACAUUAAGAAAGAAAAGUAUUCUGCACUUUUUUUUGUAUAAUUUGCAAAAAUAUAACUGAAUUGAAGAGGCUUAUUGCUGAAAACCAUAAAACCACAAGAGGCUGAAUGAAUCAUGGAAUCAUGGAAUGCUUUUCGUUGGAAGAGACUAGGAAAGAUGCCCUCCUUGAGAUGCUCAAAAAUCUUUUUUGGAGUUCAAACAAUUAUUCACAGCCUGGAUAGAAGGCAUCUGCAGUCACUUGGAGGAUUUGGUCUCCUGCACGGCCAUAUGAGACACUUCAGUCAACUUGUGGGCACAAACAUAAUUGCAGAAUUUCAUGUGUAUAUAUCUAUGUUAUCAUAUUCUUUCACUGUGAAAGCAGUAACUACUGUAUGUGGUAAAAUGAUAUAUUGUUGUCCGCAAAAUGUCUUUGGCAACAGGAUGUUCACUAGCCUUGGAAUUUUGCCUUGUAUAAAUAUUUUUAAUCUACUCUAUGUAGGCAUAUUUUGGCUGCAAAAUAAAGGGUUUUGGAGAUUAAUAUAUCCA
rnacentral:lncRNA from 1 species